AAAUAACGAGGAAAGUCCGUGCACCACAGAGCAGGAUGCUGGAUAACGUCCAGUGGGGGCGACCCUAAGGAUAGUGCAACAGAGAGAUACCGCCAUUUAUGGUAAGGGUGGAAAGGCGAGGUAAGAGCUCACCAGGACUUAGGCGACUAAGUUGCUAUGUAAACCCCAUUUGGUGCAAGAUCAAGAUGGAACAAUGUAGUUGCUCGCUACACCAUAGGUAGAUCGCUUGACCUUAUUGGUAACAAUAAGGGUAGAUAGAUGAUUAUCAAAAACAGAACACGGCUUAUUUUCUGGUCC
rnacentral:RNase_P_RNA from 1 species